rnacentral:rRNA from 1 species
UACAGAGGGUGCAAGCGUUGUUCGGAAUUAUUGGGCGUAAAGGGCGCGUAGGCGGUGCGGUAAGUCUGUAGUGAAAUCUCUGGGCUCAACUCAGAGUCUGCUGCAGAAACUGCCGUGCUUGAGUGUGGGAGAGGUGAGUGGAAUUCCCGGUGUAGCGGUGAAUGCGUAGAUAUCGGGAGGAACACCUGUGGCGAAAGCGGCUCACUGGACCACAACUGACGCUGAGGCGCGAAAGCUAGGGGAGCAAACAGG